rnacentral:rRNA from 1 species
CACUCCUUGACAUGGAAAUUAUACCUAUUCGAAGGGAUAGGGUCGGUUCGGCCGGGUUUCACACAGGUGUUGCAUGGCUGUCGUCAGCUCGUGUCGUGAGAUGUUGGGUUAAGUCCCGCAACGAGCGCAACCCUCAUCCUUAGUUACCAUCAGGUAAUGCUGGGGACUUUAAGGAAACUGCCAGUGAUAAACUGGAGGAAGGUGGGGAUGAUGUCAAGUCAUCAUGGCCCUUAUGGAGUGGGCUACACACGUGCUACAAUGGUGGCUACAAUGGGCUGCAAAGUCGCGAGGCUAAGCCAAUCCCUUAAAAGCCAUCUCAGUUCGGAUUGUACUCUGCAACUCGAGUGCAUGAAGUUGGAAUCGCUGGUAAUCGUGGAUCAGCACGCCACGGUGAAUA